rnacentral:rRNA from 1 species
AUGAGGCACGAAAACCAGCCAGGCCAGGAUCUUGUCUUCACAGCAAUAGCAACAGUAGAUCGUUUGCAAGAAAAUAUUCAAUGGUGGUACAUGUCAUGUGAUAAGUGUCACAAAUUGGCUACCAAAGAAACCAACAAGUAUUAUUGCAACAGUUGUGGUAUAUAUCCAGAAAAGGUCACACCUCGGUACCGUGUUCGACUCCAAAUUAGUGACCAUACAUCUACUACAAGUUGCACUUUAUUUGACGAGGAGGCUGCAAGAUUGCUUAAUACAUCUGCAUCUAAGUUGCUGGACACACUAGAUGGGAAAUCGGAAGAAGCGCCAAAAAUUAUUCAACAAUUAUGUGGAAAAAGACUUAUAUUUCGGUUCAAUCUCAAUGAUAGUAAUCUCACAUUUGGCACACAAAACUAUGCAGUAAAAAGAACAUUUAUGCCUAAUGAUAAGCUUGAGAUGCUCUACUUGGAGAAUAAAGCCGAGGAGGAAUUGAUGGAUGAUGAAGUUGACACCGUGUUAAUGAAGAAGCAGAACAUGCCGGAUAGAAAGUCAAAGAAUAAUAAAGUUUCACCUGGCGAACUUUCAUGCGAACGGGUGCCUGUGAAAGAGGAGCCAAAUGAUAGCAAUGGGACUACAUGA